CUUUACUGUAACUUGACAUUGGAUUUUGGCUGCACUUGUGUAGGAUAGGUGGGAGGCUUUGAGACGGUACCGCCAGGUAUCGUGGAGCCGUCGUUGAAAUACCACCCUGGUGCCGACGGAGUUCUAACGCGAUCCGUGAUCCGGACCGCAGACAGUGUCUGGUGGGCAGUUUGACUGGGGCGGUCGCCUCCCAAAAUGUAACGGAGGCAUCCAAAGGUCUUCUCAGCGCGGUCGGUAAUCGCGCGUAGAGUGCAAAGGCAUAAGAAGGCUUGACUGCGAGACCGACAGGUCGAGCAGAUGGGAAACCAGGGCUUAGUGAUCCCGCGGUAUAGCGUGGAAUUGCCGUUGCUCAAUGGAUAAAAGGUA
rnacentral:rRNA from 1 species